GCUGACGCAUCUGUUCAGAACGUUUUCUCACCACCAAAUGUGGUAGUGAGAGGAAGUCUGCGACUUUUCUCAUCGAUGAAACAUCUGAUCUUAAUAAAUGUUUCUAUUUACAGCACAGUGCACAAAGUUUUAUAGACUUGAGGCUUUGCCAACGUUUUUAAAAAAUUGCGCGAUUUAAGAAAGAGAGCAAGGUCGAAUUGAGUUUGUGCACACGCGCACUUCACCGAGGAGGCGUUCCCUAACGGAAAUAUGCAAAGACAUGCUACAACGCGCCAAUAGGUUCUCGCAAGCUUGCCACGCUUGUUUUGCGCACUAUGCAUCAUUUGCUCCCAAUGCAAACGACACAGAUGAACUGUCUUGGCUAGAGGAGCCAGAAGAAUGCGCAAUCAUGAGGGAACAGCUGCUGCUUUACGAGUGCUGUGUGAUGAGAACCCAUUGCACAUCGCCUGGAGCUCCAGUGAGUGAGCUGUCUCACAGUGAGGCCCAGGCCCAACAGCCUUCACCAUCCCCAGCAGCAAUGUGGCUCAGGACACCGCCGGACCCGGAGACAUGCAGCCCCCACUCAGUUCUACAGUAGAGCCCUAUGCAUGCUCAGCACUGGAACAGGCACUUAAAACAUGGGUGCAAUGCUUAUAGUGCUCUGUUUGCAUUCUGCUUGCAUCACUUGCAAGGCUUUAUCCAUCAUAUGACACAAUCUGUGGUUGGUAUUUUGUUUUCAAUAUGUAUUUGUCUUUGAAUGAUAUUCAGAGAACAUUCAUCACUGCUCCUUCAUCAGUGCAAGUAUUGCAUUGAAGAAAGUUUGUAAUUAAGAAUUGAAUAUACUGCGUAUGUUCAUCAUUUCAUCAGCGGCACAUGAUAAUGUUUUAAAUUAAAUUUUUAGAGGAUCUUCCGACAAUAGACAUAGAUAGUGAUGAGGCUGAAGAUAAAGAUGAGAGAGAAGGAGAAUGACAGUGUGGGGAAAAUCUCUUACUGUGAGUCGGAGUCCUACGCUGAGGAACCAAAAUAAUCAUCACCUAAACCUAAACUAGAGCUUUACUCAAAAAACCUUACCAAUGCUAUAUAAAACAGAAAGACAAAAUAUAUAUAUAAACACAUCUAGAUUUUUUUUUAAAUCAUGUUUAUUUAAAUAAAUAAAAACGCAGACAUUUCACAUAGUGGUUUAAGACAAAUAUACUAUUUUUAAAAAUCCAUAAUGAUACACAAACAAUACAGUACACAAACUUUACAGUACAGACUACAAAAAUGUACAGAGGUGAAUGAAGAGGCAUGGCAUUCUAAGUUUCAGUCAUGUUCAAUGACACUAGGUGGUGCUAUGCACCUUCCAGUGCAUUGUUUUCUUCCUUCUGCGUUUAUGUAACAGUGUGACGUGCUAGAUUUAUCAUUAUCUAUCCAGUUGAAUCUAUUUGUAAAUAUCCUUCCUUCACUCAGUAUGAGCAUAAUGGUAAACAUGUGCACGUGUAUAGCAACAUGUAAUUAAUGUCAUAGUGGUUUCCCGUAACACAUGUUAGAUGCCAUCAGGGCCACAUUAGGCACAUUCCCCAUUAGGCUAUAACUGAUACAUUUUUUGGCAUAUGCCCUACGCAGCUCAUAUCAAGACACAUGUAAACAGGGAUGUACACAACAACACAACACUGUUAUAUACCUUUAAGGCAACAUGACUUUGCAUUUAUACAUUUAAGGCAACAUGAUUAUUUAAUCUUAACAUCAACAGGGUCUAGGUAAUUAUAUUUAUAUGUUAGACCUUUUUAGAUAUUCUACCAUUGGGUGGAUUAUUCAAAAACAAACUGACAGUCCAAGUCUGGCAGGCCAAUACCAACACAGUUCAACAUAGUGCACUUUCCUUUGUAGCUUAGUUGGGAGUGCAUGGCUCUUGCAACCCUAGGAUAGUGUGUACAAUUCCCUGGACCACCUGUAUGUAAAAUGUAUGCACGCAUGACUAUAUGUAGCUUUGGAUAAAAGCAUCUGCUAAAUGGCAUACUGUAUAUUAUAUCUUCAGGUCAUGCUCUAAAUUGUCCCAGUGGUGUUGCUGAAUGGAGCACUGUCUAUGUGGGGAGAGGGUAGGGCACAUUCCAAAAUAGCAACCAGCCACUUAACCCUUUACACUCGUGGGAAUUGGCCUAUAUGGAUAGGGCUACAUUGAAAUGUUCCUUAAAUAAUAAUUAAGAUAAGCAUAUGCAUAACCAUGGUAGCAAUUGAAAGGGAACAGUUUGGAGAUAAUGUGAAAAUUAUUAGACCAAAGGUGAGGACACAAAAGUUCACCUGACACAAGACUUAAUCCAAACAUUACAUUGUACAUUUUAUGUGCAUUUUACAUUUACUGUACUUUUCGUCGCAUUUGUUGAUAACGAAAUCUGAAAAUACUCUGGUUACAUUCAGUAACAUGAUAAGACUAUUCCUGGAAAAUGUGGGGUAGGUGCAACAUAACAAAUAAUUUUACGCAAUCCAAAAAACAGUCCAUUAUAAAUCGCUAUCUGGUUCAGGUGGGCAUGAUUUGAAAGUGUGUUCUAUUGCCAACAUGACUAGCUAAUUUAUAAAAUACGAUCUUACAGUGUUAGGCUUCCACAAGGCAUUUCAGGGAAACAUUGUAAUUUUGGUGCGCAUAGAAAGGAGUCUUGUGCAAUCAGGUGUGUGUGGCCCGACAAAUUUUCUUCACAAUAAACAAAAAUAGGCUAAUUCUGUUCAGAACAACCCAGGUAAAUUCAAUUCAUUGGACAUGAUUUGGAAACGCUCACAACUGUCUGUAUAAGGUCCCACAGUUGACAAAAACCAAGCCAUGAAGUUGAAGGAAUUGUCCGUAGAGCUCCGAGACAGCAUUGUGUUGAGGCACAGAUCUGGGGAAGGGUACCAAAACAUUUCUGCACAUUGAAGGUCCCCAAGAACACAGUGGCCUCCAUCAUUCUUAAAUGGAAGAAGUUUGGAACCACCAAGACUCUUCCUAGAGCUGGCUGUCUGACCAAACUGAGCAAUCGGGGGUGAAGGUGACCAAAAACCCGAUGGUCACUCUGACAGAGCUCCAGAGUUUUUCUGUGGAGAUAGGAGAACCUUCCAGAAGGACAACCAUCUCUGCAGCACUCCACCAAUCAGGCCUUUAUGGUAAAGUGGCCAGACGGAAGCCACUCCUCAGUAAAAGGCACAUGACUGCCCGCUUGGAGUUUGCCAAACGGCACCUAAAGGACUCUCAGACCAUGAGAAACAAGAUUCUUUGGUCUAAUGAAACCAAGAUUGAACUCUUUGGCCUGAAUGCCAAGCUUCAUGUCUGGAGGAAACCUGGCACCAUCCCUACAGUGAAGCAUAAUGGUGGCAGUAUCAUGCUGUGGGGAGGUUUUUCAGCAGCAGGGACUGGGAGACUAGUCAGGAUCGAGGAAAAGAUGAAUGGAGCAAAGUACAGAGAGAUCCUUGCUGAAAACCUGCUCCAGAGCGCUCAGGACCUCAGACUGGGGCGAAGGUUCACCAUCCAACUGGACAACGACCCUAAGCACACAGCCAAGACAACACAGUAGCGGCUUCGGGACAAAUCUCUGAAUGUACUUGAAUGGCCCAGCCAGACCCCGUACUUGAACCCGAUCAAACAUCUCUGGAGAGACCGGAAAAUAGCUGUGCAGCGACGCACCCCAUCCAACUUGGUAUUUUAUUAGGAUCCCCAUUGGUUGUUGCAAAAGCAGCAGCUACUCUUCCUGGGGUCGCUGCACCCCUCCAUAUACCCCUCAUAUACCCCCCCUCUACUGUGGGAAGAACUGCAUUCGGGUCUCAUGUGCAGUCUGGCAGUGUCAAUUAUGCGUGUGGUUUGAAUUGAUGGCGACUUUGUGUAAAGUAAAUAAGAUAGGCUAAAGGCUUCCAACAACCUGUUUGGAUAAUAUACUGUUUUAUUUUUUUGCCAAAAUGCUGCUAUGCAUGUUGUGUAUUUUGUGAAAUUGCAUUAGUGUGACAUUGGGGGGUUAACUUUGUAAAUUCCCGGGUCUUGACAUUUAAUUUUGUGGGAAAAUGUGAAGAAUGGGCCUGGGACAUGAUGGUUACCGGUGUUAAUCCCUAAUUCAUUGUUUUCUAAAGUUCCAGAAUAUUCUACUAUUUGGCUUUGGGUAUGUUCAGUUACAGUGUUGACAAGUCAAAAUGUGCCAAGCCUCUUGAGGGGCUCUCUGUAAGUAUACUGAAGAAAAUGUAAAUGCAAUAAAUUUAAUAAUUUCAAAGAUUUGACUGAUUUACAGUUAAUUUAAGGAAAGCAGUCAAUUUAAAUAAAUUCAUUAAACCCUAAUCUAUGGAUUUCACAUGACUGGGAAUACAGAUAUGCAUCUGUUGGUUACAGAUACCUUAAAUAAAAAUGUAGGGGCUUGGAUCAGAAAACCGUCUUGGUAAGCAAAUUCAGUGUAUAUUUGGCCUUGUGUUUUAGGUUAUUGUCCUGCUGAAAGGUGAAUUUGUCUCCCAGUGUCUGUUGGAUAGCAGACUGAACCAGGUUUUCCUCUAGGAUUUUGCCUGUGCUUAGCUCUAUUCCGUUUCUUUUUAUCCUAAAAAACUCCCUAAUCAUUGCCGAUGAUAUAACAUGAAGCAGCCACCACCAUGCUUGAAUAUAUGUGUGUUGGAUUUGCCCCAAACAUAAUACUUUGUAUUCAGUACAUUAAGUUGAUUUCUUUACCACAUUUUUUGCAGUUUUAUUCAAUGCCUUAUUGCAAACAGGAUGCAUGUUUUGAGAUAUUUGUAUUAUGUACAGGCUUCCUUCUUUUCACUCUGUCAUUUAGGUUAGUAUUGUGGAGUAACUUCAAUGUUGUUGAUCCAUCCUCAAUUUUCUCCUAUCACAGCCAUUAAACUCUGGAACUGUUUUAAAGUCACCAUUGGCCUCAUGGCCAAUGAGUUUGGAAGGAGGCCUGUUAUGGCCAACUGAGUUAGGAAGGAUGCCUGUAUCUUUGUAAUGACUGGGUGUAUUGAUACACCAUCCCGCAAUGCCAUCGGCGGUAAACCAAAUAAAAAUGUGGUUCACAUUUAAAAAAUGAAAUAAAAAAUCAAUUUAUAUUUUCCAACUGGGCUAUACAUUUAGGUGAGUACAAAUUAAUUAAAAAAAAUCUCGCAUGAGUAGCCUCAUUUCACUGCUAAAAAUAAAAUUAAACCAUCUAGUGUUCGGCGAAAUAACAACACAAUGUCAAAUACAGGUAGCCUUGUCAAAUAAUUAACAUCCAAUCACAUUAACCGUUACUCUCUCGCGGGAAUUCCACUAACGGUCCGUAUGUAGCCAAACGUAGCUGCAGCUCAUGUUGGUAUCUGUACUGAUGGCGCAAAAGCCAUGACUGGCAGUUGCUCCCGACGCCACUUGUGUCACGGCUGUUUAAAGAAGAGGACCAAGAUGCAGCGUGAUGAGCGUACAUUUUCUUUUAAUAGUAGAUGUCGCCAAACAAAACAAUGAACACUACAAAAACAAACCGUGAAGUUAAAGGCUAUGUGCCCUAAACAAAGUCAACUUCCCACAAAGACAGGUGGGAAAAAGGGCAGCCUAAGUAUGGUUCUCAAUCAGAGACCAUCAGAGAAUUGAGAACCACACCCGGCCAAAUACAAAGAAAUAGAAAACAUAGAAAUAAAGAAACUAGAAUGCCCACCCUAGUCACAUCCUGGCCUAACCAAAAUAGAGAAUAAAAGCCUCUCUAUGGCCAGGGCGUGACAACUUGGGUACACUGCAGCAUCUACCGAGAGGCUCUUGCUGCCAAGGGAAUGCCUGACAACUUGAAAGACGUUUUGGACACUACAGUGAAAAUGGUUAACUUUGUUAAAGCAAGGCCCCUGAACUGUCGUGUAUUUUCUGCACCAUGCAAUGAUAUGGGCAGCGACCAUGUAAUGCUUUUACAACAUAAAGAAGUGCGCUGGUUAUCAAGGGGCAAAGUAUUGACACGUUUUUUUAAAUUGACAGACGAGCUUAAAGUUUUCUUUACCGACCAUAAUUUUCACUUGUAUAACCGCUUGCAUGAUGACGAGUUUCUCACAUGACUGGCCUAUCUGGGUGAUGUUUUUUCACGCCUGAAUGAUCUGAAUCAAGGAUUACAGGGACUCUCCACAAAUAUAUUCAGUGUGCGGGACAGAAUUGAGGCUAUGAUUAAGAAGUUGGAGCUCUUCUCUGUCUGCAUUAACAAAGAGAACACACAGGUCUUUCCAUAAUUGUAUGAUUUUUUGUGUGCAAAUGAACUCAAGCUUACGGACAAUGUCAAAUGUGAUAUAGCGAGUGAGUUGGGUGCGCAAUUAUGCAGGUACUUUCCCGAAACGGAUGACACAAACAACUGGAUUCGUUGUCCCUUUCAUGCCCUGCCUCCAGUCCACUUAACCGAUAUCUGAACAAAAGAGCCUCAUCGAAAUUGCAACAAGCGGUUCUGUGAAAAUGUAAUUUAUUCAGAAGCCACUGCCAGAUUUCUGGAUUGGGCUGCGUUCAGAGUAUCCUACCUUGGCAAAUCACGCUGAUGCCAUUUGCAACCACGUACCUAUGUGAGAGUGGAUUCUCGGCCCUCACUAGCAUGAAAGCUAAAUACAGGCACAGACUGUGUGUGGAAAAUGAUUUAAGAUUGAGACUCUCUCCAAUACAACCCAACAUUGCAGAGUUAUGUGCAUCCUUUCAACCACACCCUUCUCAUUAACCUGUGGUGAGUUAUUCACAAUUUCCGAUGAACAAAUAAGGUUUUAUGUGUAAGAUGGUUAAAUAAAGAGCAAAAUAAGUGAUUAUUAUAUUAUUAUUUGUGCCCUGGUCCUAUAAGAGCUCUUUGUCACUUCCCCCGAGCUGGGUUGUGACAAAAAUUCACACUCAUUCUUAUGUUUAAUAAAUGUAUUGUAUAGUGUGUGUGUGUGGCAGGCUUACAAUGAUGGCAAAAAACAACAUUUGAGAGUACACUGACCCUGGUGCUAGAGGGGGUACGCAGCUGGAGAUUGAAUGUUUGAAGGGACUAUAUGGGACUAUGAAAAGUUUGGGAACUGCUGCUCUAAGGGAUAUUCAAUGUCAGAUUUUUUCAUUUUUACCCACGAAUCGGUACGAAUGGGUGCCAUUCUUUGCGAGGCAUUGGAAAACCUCCCUGGUCUUUGUGGUUGAAUCUGUGUUUGAAAUUCACUGCUCGACAGAUAAUUGUAUGUGUGGGGUACAGAGAUGAGGUAGUCAAUAAAAAUCAUGUUAAACACUA